rnacentral:rRNA from 1 species
AGCGAACGCUGGCGGCAGGCCUAACACAUGCAAGUCGAACGAACCUUUCGGGGUUUGUGUCGUCCGGGUGUGUAACACGUUGGAACGUUCCUUUAUGUUCGGCAUAACUCAGGGACACUUGUGCUAAUACCGAAUGUGCCCUUCGGGGGAAAGAUUUAUCGCCUUUGGAGCGGCCGGAGUCUGAUUAGCUUGUUGGUUGAGGUAAUGGCUCACCAAGGCGACGAUCAGUAGCUGGUAUGAGAGGAUGAUCAGCAACAUUGGGACAGAGACACGGACCAAACACCUAGGGGAGGGAGCAGGGGGGAAGGAUGCACAAUGAGCGAAAGCAGAACGAAGCCAGGCCGCGAGAAUGAUGAAGGACGGAGGAAUGAAAAAUUAUUUAACCGGGGACGAUAAUAAGGGAACCAGGAGAAGAAGCACCGGCAAACAUCGU